rnacentral:rRNA from 1 species
UACGUAGGGUGCAAGCGUUGUCCGGAAUUAUUGGGCGUAAAGAGCUCGUAGGCGGUUUGUCGCGUCUGCUGUGAAAACUCAGGGCUUAACCCUGAGCCUGCAGUGGGUACGGGCAGACUAGAGUGUGGUAGGGGAGAUCGGAAUUCCUGGUGUAGCGGUGGAAUGCGCAGAUAUCAGGAGGAACACCGGUGGCGAAGGCGGAUCUCUGGGCCAUAACUGACGCUGAGGAGCGAAAGCUAGGGGAGCGAACAGG